rnacentral:rRNA from 1 species
GUCAAAUUAUCAUGCCCUUUAUGAUCUGGGCUACACACGUGCUACAAUGGGCGGUAACAAAGAGAAGCGAAGCCGCGAGGCGGAGCAAAUCUCAGAAAGCCGUUCUCAGUUCGGAUUGCAGCCUGCAACUCGGCUGCAUGAAGUCGGAAUCGCUAGUAAUCGCGGAUCAGAAUGUCGCGGUGAAUGCGUUCCCGGGCCUU